AGACUUAAAGGGAAAUAUGGGAAAGCUAAACAAAACAACCUCAAACUAGAUCUGUGCAACUUCUUUGGUAUAUAAAUAUCCCUAGACAGAGGAGAGAGACAACCAGAAGCACCACUUGAGAAAUGGAAUUCAAGGCAAAUGUUUCAAGGUGCCUUUGUGUGCUGGUGCACCUGCACCGUAGCCCUCAGCAGGUCCAUCAUCACCCCGAGAGCCAGGCACGGUGCCACCUGGCUGUGCGUGUGGAGGGUGUAAGCUACGUGCUACAAGUAUGUGUAGAUAUGGGAGAAACAAAAGGAGAUGUCUCAAGAACAGCCUCAGACAAGAAAGUUGUGUAAGCAGAAGUCCCCACCACGCAUAGAAAGCCCAUGUUAUGUUACAGGAACUUUGAUAUACCAUGGCCUGUAUGAGUGUGUUAGAGUUAACAAGAGAGGAAUGCAUGUGACAAGAGGUCAUGGAUCAGAAGAGAUCCCUUCAAGCAGAUGUGGAGAGCCAGCCUUUCAGGCCACCCAGCAGCAGCAGGACUGGCCCCAGCGUGGUCCGCGCUCCCUCCGCCCAGAGAAGCAGCUGGACACCACCUCUCCGUUCUAGGAAACCCGUGCACUCCCUGGGACAUGUGGCACGUCUGUGGUCCAGAAGAGAACGUCACACCUGCCUUGCAGAGUCAGGGAAAAUUGGUCCAAUGCUAAUCCUGAAGACUGAGAUUUCUUUUUCUUUUUUUUUCUUUUCUUUUUUUUUUUUUUUUACAUUUUGAUGACCAGGAUUUCCUUUCUUGUGGAAUAAUCUCAUAUUGCCAUAUUUUCUGACCUACUCACAGAUCUUCUCUUGCCUCCGUUUAGAAUAGAUUUUUCUAAAAAAUCAAUUGUUUUUCCUUUCUAAUUUCUUCUGCUUUGAAUUGUGUUAAUUCCAAACAGAUCAAGAGUUAAAACAAUUAAUCCUGUAUUCGUUUUCUUUUUUUUUCCAAACGAUAAGUCAUAUGAGUAUGGAUGGCCUUUUGUUAUUCUUUAGUAAGCUCAAACAAGAAUAUUUAUUCCCUCAUUAGAAAAAACAAUAAAUCA